rnacentral:rRNA from 1 species
UGCAUCCAUGGGGGCACCCUGAUCCAGCCAUGCCGCGUGUGUGAAGAAGGCCUUUUGGUUGUAAAGCACUUUAAGCAGGGAGGAGAGGCUAAUGGUUAAUACCCAUUAGAUUAGACGUUACCUGCAGAAUAAGCACCGGCUAACUCUGUGCCAGCAGCCGCGGUAAUACAGAGGGUGCGAGCGUUAAUCGGAAUUACUGGGCGUAAAGCGAGUGUAGGUGGCUCAUUAAGUCACAUGUGAAAUCCCCGGGCUUAACCUGGGAACUGCAUGUGAUACUGGUGGUGCUAGAAUAUGUGAGAGGGAAGUAGAAUUCCAGGUGUAGCGGUGAAAUGCGUAAAGAUCUGGAGGAAUACCGAUGGCGAAGGCAGCUUCCUGGCAUAAUAUUGACACUGAGAUUCGAAAGCGUGGGUAGCAAACAGGAUUAGAUACCCUGGUAGUCCACGCCGUAAACGAUGUCUACUAGCCGUUGGGGUCCUUGAGACUUUAGUGGCGCAGUUAACGCGAUAAGUAGACCGCCUGGGGAGUACGGCCGCAAGGUUAAAACUCAAAUGAAAAUUGACGG